UCUUGUGAACUUCUAGCAAUGGCUGCAGUGCAUUUAUUUUACACAGAAUUUUCUUACCUGAAGCUGUGGAGCCAAAGAUUGUAUUCUCCUCUCUGUUGUGCAUCUGAAUUUCUGCAAUGGCACUGCUUCAGAGGAGUUGAGUAGAGAAACAAACCUUAUAAGAUUUCACAAUACUAUUAAUGAUCUGGAUCGCAUUCUGCAGUCCUGAUUUAGGUAAGAAUACCAUCAGAACCAAAGCACAAUCUAAAAUAAUAUUUGAAGGGCAAGUCUGAGGCUUAGUUGGCUUAAUCUUGAAUUUUCCUGCCUCAACUUUCAAGUAUUUUUCAGUCAUGUAGGAGAGAUAAGAAAUGUUGAUGUAUGGGGGCAUAGAGAGAAAAAGUAAAGUGAUUAUGGUUUUGUGAUGUACACUGUAAAAUGGAAUUUAAUUUUCCUCUGAAAGGAAGUCUUUAGCAUCUUUUUAAAAUUAUUGCUGGUUCAUGCUUUGUGUUUCUACUUGAUAGUAACCUUUAGAUCAGCAGGCUUUGAAUGUGAAGAGCUUCUAUAUCCUAUUAUAAAAAAAAAGCACUUUCAAAAAUUUAACAGACAGACUUUUCAAAGAGAAGGGGGGUAGACUCUAAGAGAAGUUAUGGUGUGGACUUGUUUUCCUAAGCACAGUUUCCCUCCUAGGAGGAGGAAGGAGGUUUGCAGUAGUCAGGGGAUGAGUGAUCACAGUGUGAAACUAACUUUGAGGGCCAUUACACACAGCUUUUUGUUGUUCUCUAACAUCCUGAUUCUCUCUGAGACCACAGUGAAGCUGCAAAAACAGAAGCAGUAAGAGGAGCUAUAAGCUUUGGAACAGGUGAGUUGAAUUAUUUUCCUUUGCUUGGAAAGUCUUAACCAGAACUGAACACAGACAAAAGCUGAGCAGCUUUCAUCCAUCCUUUCUCACAGUAAAAACCCCAACCAACAACAAAAUACAACAAAAAGUGUUGCACGUGCAUGUCUAAAAAAUGUAACUUUUUAAUAGAAUUGGAUGUAUUUGUAACUAUUUUCCUCAGAAAAAAAGCCAAAUAAGCUUACAUUUUAUUUUUCUAAUCAUAUAUCAUCCUGUUUUAUCUUUCAAAGAGACCUGGUUUACUAUUUCAUUUCAUUGAUGCCCAUGAGAGCAGAUAUAACUGGAGGAUGUUCCCACAUCUGGCUUGCUUGAAAGCUUAUCCUAGAAAUGUUAAAUAAGUUUGUAUAUAUAUUAAAGGCCAAAUACAGCAACAUUGAAAACUAUAGCAUUGUCUGGUAACAUUGAUAGGAAGUUUUGGAAAUAGUGUUUGGAGCAGGGAAAAAAAAAUGAGGUAAAAUAUGUCCAUUGUUCAUCAGAUUUGCAGCAGCUGGAAUCCAGUGUAAUGGAAAACAGGAUUCUCCAGAGAAAAUAAACAAUAAUUUGUUUAUUUGCAGUAAUUUCUAUAAUGCUAAGUGAAGUUUGUGUCAAACUUCAGUAAAUGUCCUGAACAAAUGUCCUGCGUGUACGUCCUGAACUUGAUUUCCUUGCUUUCCUUUAUUCUCACCUAUUAAAUACCUUAAAAUUAAUCUUAAUUUUGGAUCACUUCAUCUCAAACAUUACAAGGGAAUUGUUCUGCCCGUGUGGGACAAUGAUCAUGGUAAAGAUCUUUUCAAAUCUGUUCAAAUGCUGCUUUUCUCAGCAGGGAGAGACUUGGAUGAUUUUGGACUUGUCAGAUGUGCUUUGGAGUAGUGUCAUGUUUUAUUUUAAGAUAUCACCAUUAAUAAUUAUUGAGUUCCACUCAGAAAUGAAUGUAGGAGGGGGAAGAGACAUUUGCUAUUUAUCCAGAAAAAGACCUGUGUCAGGUUUGGAUGGAGGUCUAGAGUUCCUGCAGCAGACCCUCCUGCAAUUACCAAUUCCAGAGGCCUUACAGCCUUUUCAGGGAGAUUUUUCUCUAGCAACAUGAGAGGGGGAAAAAAGACAAUUAUUUCUUGAAAAAAUGCUCUUCAAUUCAUGCAGUGUUACUUUCUCCUCUCAAUAUUGUGUAUCUUAAUGCCUUGCUCUUCCUGUCUCCGUUGGGCCACCCUCUUAAAGCAUUUCCAAAAGAGCUAGCUGAGUAACUGUAUGUUUAAUUUCCCAGAUCAAAUGUUUAAUCUGCAAUCAGUGCUCAGUUUCUCAAAUCAAAUGCAGUAUGUAUUCAAGCAGGAGUUCUGUAACAGUAAUACUGCUCUCUCAGACAAGAGGGACUCACAAAUUCUGGAUAACCAUGGAAUUCUGAAUAUGCUUUCUGUAACAGUCCUACUGGGUUGAGCUGAAGUAGAUGCUUCUGUGGGGGAGAAAAAUCAAAGGAAACUUUUAAGCCAGAGAAAUGGGAAAUCAUUGCUUAGCAGGCAAGUCUCUGAUUCUUCUGCAGCUGCCACUUCUCCCAGCAGAGAGGGCAGGGGGGACGAUGCUCAUGGCAGAAACACAGCGCUUGUUCUGAGUCACUGAGCUAAGUGGUUUGGCCCUUGUGCCCACCACAGCUUCUGUGGGAACAAAUAAUUGUUCCAGGGUUGGGCUUGCUAUUAAUAAUAUUGUAAUGAUGCACUUACGUCUCCAUGUGGAAUGCAUUGUGCUUAAACUGAGGAAAUGUUUGGAAUCUUCAGCUUGUGGCUACAGAGGAUGGAUCAAGCAGUCCCUCCUCGAAGGAAACUCGUGCAAAAUCAUUUCAUUUUGCCUUCUAGUGGAUGACAGGUCUGCACAGAAUGAGCUGUCAAGGGAAGUAACUUCAUAAAGUGCUCUUGAACUGCUUGCAAUUACCUGACCAUAUUCUACCAUUAAUUAAGUUCUCAGGUCACUAUAGCACAGAAAGAAAUGAAAAUUAAAAAAACAACCAGAACAAAAUAUGAAACUUUCUUUGUGUAAGUUUUUUCCUGAUGAAAUCUGUACUUCUGCAGAAAUAAUAUUGGAAUUAAACAAGUGGUUAUUGGGAGCUCCGCUUUGUUCCUACAAAUAAAUAAACACACAACUUGUGUUGCAGCUCUGCACAGGCUCAAGAAGUAAAAGAUAAAACAUAGAGACUUAACAAAAACCCCAAAAAAGUUUUUUUAUGUACCAUGACCUGGCCUUUUGCAAGAUAAUUGCCAUGGUAAGCACUGAGCAUGUGGCAUGUGGUAUGUGGCCAUAGCAGGGGUUUCUCAGAGCUGUAUUUUUAUUUCAGCUUGCUUUUCCACAGACUCUCUACAUCAAACAAUUAAACAUUUGAAGUUUCAGUGUUUACAGCAUCUGAGCAAACCUUUGUGGAGUAAUUUGAAAUAGAAAUAAAGGGAAAAUAGGCUGGUUUACUGGAAAGCAAAAAUUAAAAAAUGUACUCUAGGUGUUGCUUUCCCUCUCCUUAAGCAGAACCUGAAAUCACCCAGAGCCUUCACAGCUCUUUCCAUCUUAAUGGACCACUUCAGACCAUUUUCACUGUCCUCUCUUUUGUGCUGUCCUCUGAAAUGAUAAGAUUGAAGGAGCACUAACCAGUGGGUUUUGUGGAACCACCUAUUUAUUUGCUUCAGAAUUAAAGAGAUCCUGAGACCCUUUUUGAAGUCUUGGAAAGUUAACAGUAAGUAUCACAAGGAAGAAUAUUUCCAUUCUGUUUAUUUUUUUGGCUAUCUAUCAGAAAGGACAAGUGGAAUAUACCUGAAGGGGCUUGUAGCAGAAACAUGAAUAAAAUGCUGUGGCCUCUUUGACUUCACUCCAGAUGUUUAGGCCUCUAGAUAUUUUGCCACUUUUAAAGGAAGAUCAAAGGAGAUUCAGAGAAUGAGGCGAUCAUCCCCUGCUGAUUUUAAUUAACAAUCCUUUUGCUCUUCUUUAUUCUUGAAAGUCUUUUGUAAUUUUCAUAACUUUUGCUUUGUAUAUAACAGAUGGUGGAAUAAAUAAUUUGGUGUUUUGAUUUUUUUUUUUUAAUGUUGUGUAAGUCCAGUUCAACAUUUCUGUGUAUUUCCUUAGCAACUGCUGUAAAAAAUACAUGCAAUACUGGAGGAUUUGCUGCCAUUCUUGUUGGUUUAGAUAACUUCUCCACUGCCUAAUGCAUGAAAUCAAAUUUCUGCUUACUUAUAUCUAAAAACAGAUUUAAUAAAACACAUCAAAUUUACUGAUCUGA